rnacentral:rRNA from 1 species
AUUGAACGCUGGCGGCAGGCCUAACACAUGCAAGUCGAGCGGUAGAGAGAAGCUUGCUUCUCUUGAGAGCGGCGGACGGGUGAGUAAUGCCUAGGAAUCUGCCUGGUAGUGGGGGAUAACGUUCGGAAACGGACGCUAAUACCGCAUACGUCCUACGGGAGAAAGCAGGGGACCUUCGGGCCUUGCGCUAUCAGAUGAGCCUAGGACGGAUUAGCUAGUUGGUGGGGUAAUGGCUCACCAAGGCGACGAUCCGUAACUGGUCUGAGAGGAUGAUCAGUCACACUGGAACGGAGACACGGUCCAGACUCCUACGGGAGGCAGCAGUGGGGAAUAUUGGACAAUGGGCGAAAGCCUGAUCCAGCCAUGCCGCGUGUGUGAAGAAGGUCUUCGGAUUGUAAAGCACUUUAAGUUGGGAGGAAGGGCAGUAAAUUAAUACUUUGCUGUUUUGACGUUACCGACAGAAUAAGCACCGGCUAACUCUGUGCCAGCAGCCGCCGUAA